GAUGAACGCUAGCUACAGGCUUAACACAUGCAAGUCGAGGGGAAACGACAUCGAAAGCUUGCUUUUGAUGGGCGUCGACCGGCGCACGGGUGAGUAACGCGUAUCCAACCUGCCCAUCACUUGGGGAUAACCGUGCGAAAGUAAGACUAAUACCCAAUGACGUCUCUAGAAGACAUCUGAAAGAGAUUAAAGAUUUAUCGGUGAUGGAUGAGGAUGCGUCUGAUUAGCUUGUUGGCGGGGUAACGGCCCACCAAGGCUACGAUCAGUAGGGGUUCUGAGAGGAAGGUCCCCCACAUUGGAACUGAGACACGGUCCAAACUCCUACGGGAGGCAGCAGUGAGGAAUAUUGGUCAAUGGACGAGAGUCUGAACCAGCCAAGUAGCGUGCAGGAAGACGGCCCUAUGGGUUGUAAACUGCUUUUAUAAGGGAAUAAAGUGAGUCUCGUGAGACUUUUUGCAUGUACCUUAUGAAUAAGGACCGGCUAAUUCCGUGCCAGCAGCCGCCGUAAUAC
rnacentral:rRNA from 1 species